CGACGAACUCUGGUAUUGAUUGGUGCUUGCAUCAUGAUUUACAUUUGAGUGAGUGGCGAACUGGUGAGUAACACGUGGGAAACCUGCCCAGAAGCGGGGGAUAACACCUGGAAACAGAUGCUAAUACCGCAUAACAACUUGGACCGCAUGGUCCGAGUUUGAAAGAUGGCUUCGGCUAUCACUUUUGGAUGGUCCCGCGGCGUAUUAGCUAGAUGGUGGGGUAACGGCUCACCAUGGCAAUGAUACGUAGCCGACCUGAGAGGGUAAUCGGCCACAUUGGGACUGAGACACGGCCCAAACUCCUACGGGAGGCAGCAGUAGGGAAUCUUCCACAAUGGACGAAAGUCUGAUGGAGCAACGCCGCGUGAGUGAAGAAGGGUUUCGGCUCGUAAAACUCUGUUGUUAAAGAAGAACAUAUCUGAGAGUAACUGUUCAGGUAUUGACGGUAUUUAACCAGAAAGCCACGGCUAACUACGUGCCAGCAGCCGCGGUAAUACGUAGGUGGCAAGCGUUGUCCGGAUUUAUUGGGCGUAAAGCGAGCCCAGGCGGNUUUUUAAGUCUGAUGUGAAAGCCUUCGGCUCA
rnacentral:rRNA from 2 species